CCGAGUUUCACUCGAAUAUACAUCACAAAAAGGAAGAAAAGACUAUCACAACUUCUGUUUCAUGUCAACUUUAAGGGUCUGAUGUCAUGUUUUUGUUUCCACACAUUGACCACAAGUUUGUUUGCCACUAGCUUUAAGAAGAAGACGAGUGCUGACUACAUCUACAACGAACAAGAAACAAGAUCAUUUAAUGUUUGACGGUUAAAGAGCAGAAAUGUCUGAUGGUAUUUAUGAAGAUGUGAUCAGGACUGAGUCUGAGGGAAUGAACACAGACAGAGUGGAGAUGAUGGUGGAAAUCUAUGAGAGUGCAGAAUGUGUGAGAGAUCAUGACUUCAGGACAGAGACAAACACACUCCAACCACUUCAGCGUACAGGAAGUGUUUGUGUGAAGAUCAGAAGCUCCAGAGCAGCUGCAGUGUGUUUGGUGCUGCUGUGUGUUCUUCUGCUGACUGCAGUCAUAGUGCUGUGUGUCACGUUCACUCUAGAGAGACGACAGUUAAUAUCCAAGAAUGAAAACCUUCAAAUGAGUCUUGGUAAACUGGAUGGAUGGAUUUAUUAUCAAUCCAGUCUUUACUUCAUUUCCUCUGAGAAGAGGAACUGGGCUGAGAGCAGAAGAUACUGUACAGAGAGAGGAGCAGAUCUGAUCAUCAUAAACAACAGAGAGGAACACGAAUUUGUCAGUAACAGUUCUGAUAGUGUCUGGAUUGGUCUGACUGACAGUGAUGUAGAGGGCAGAUGGAAAUGGGUUGAUGGCAGCGCACUGACCUCUGGAAAGCAGCACUGAACAUCUAAUGCUGAUCUGUUCUAGCAGGUUCUGGGCGUCUGGAGAGCCUAAUAAUUACAGAGGUGAUGAAGACUGUGCUUUGACUCUUCAACAGGAUGGAAUGAUUAUCCAUGUAAAAAAGCAUUAAGAUGGAUCUGUGAGAAGAUUAUUUUUAAAUGACACAUUUCAAUAAAUAUGUGAGCAGAGUGUAUUAUGAACACACAAGCAACUAUAAUAAUGUAAUAAAGCCAAAUGUAAUAACUGCACAUAAUGUAAUGAGUAUUACAUUACUAAUAACUUAAAACAUAAAAAACUAUUAGUCAUCUACAAAAAAAAUGCAUCUCUAUAGAGAAUCAUAUCACUAAAAUUAUAGUUUUUGUAGGAAAUAAAAAAAGUUAUGACAAUCAUUUAAAUUUUUAUUUCUCAAAAAUGAUUACAAAUGUAUAAUGACAGUUAGAAAGCAGAAGCUUUAUUUUAUUAAUUUAGUGUAUAAAACUUAAAAUGUGUUUCAACUCAAAUUGAUGGAGCACAUCAUAAUCACAAAGUUAGUAAAGUCUUUAUGAAAUUGUUGAGUUCACAAUGCAGCCUAAUAAGCCGACUUUUCUUUUAAUGUAAUAGUUUGAUUACUCUUUAUUUUAAGAUGUCUUAGAGUGAAAUUAUACAUUUAAGUACUGAGUAAUAUCAAUAACAACAUGUACUUACUAUAUGGUUAGGAACAGAGUUUGGUUUAGGGUUAGUUUCGUGUAUAAUUUAAUUAUGCAUAACUUACUGUUAUAGUACUGUAAAAUAAAGUAUUACUGCUAGUUUUACAUUAAACUAUUAUUAAACUAUAAUUGUGCUGAAAUGUAUUAAUAUCAAAUGUAUUACAGUGAACUGUCAUUACAUUGAAAGUUGCUAUAGUGUGUUCAUUAUAUAAUAAAUUUCUCCUACAAAAACCUGAUAUGUGAAAUUAUCACAUUGAAAAAUCAUUACAUGAGCUUAAGAUAUUUUUUUUUUUUAGAAAAUGACUACAUUUAUGAAGAAUUUAUUACAUUAAUAAUGUAAUACUUAUUACAUUGUGCAUUUAUUACAUUACGCUUUAUUAUAUUAUGAGCUGAACUCCUAAAUCACAAUUACUGUGACUUAAAUUCAUGUUACUGUUUGAAAGGCACUUUUCUUUAUUAUGCUGUUCUGUAAUAAACUAAAUGUAAUAUUAAAGCUUUAAAAUUGAA